GGCGAGAUAGCUCAGCUGGCUAGAGCGCAUGAUUCAUACUCAUGAGGUCCCGAGUUCGACCCUCGGUCUCGCUA
rnacentral:tRNA from 1 species